UUCUUUCACAAUCUUCAUGUUUAUGGACGCUGGAACAAAAAAAGUAUUUUUACCAUUUAUCACUAUUUGUCUUUACAUUUGGCUUUUGAUUUUCUUUACAGUUUCAAACAGACCGAGGGUAAUAUUUGUUAAUAAUGAGCUUGAAGACGAUCAAACAUUUAAAUCUUGCAGCAUUCAACCUCUCUCUGUCCUGGUUGUCGUGCUCAGAAUGCCUGAUGGAGAAGACUCACCUCAUGAGCGGAUUCGCUGGGUUGAUUCUAUGGAAAGUUUACCUCCCAGCAUGAAGAUGUGUUAGACUUUUGUCAAAAGAAUUGAAUAAUUCUCAUAUUGCUGGUCAUAGGAAGCACCAGGACUUAUCCAAACAGACUGAGAGUGAUUUUUGGUCAAAGUGAGCUUGAAGACAAUCAAACAUUUGAAUCUUGCGAGAUUGGACAUCUGUCUCUCCUUGUCGUCGUGCUCCUGAUGCCUAAAAGUCCACCUCACCUGGAGCAAGUCAGUGAAACUGGGGGGUUAUUAGAUCGUCUGAAGAUUGGCAGUUCAUUUUACCAGAGCGGAGUAGAGAAAGGGAAGAUUCAAGAAGGAGACUCAGUGCCUCAAUAUACAGGAGCAACAAAACCCCGUUCAAACACAGAUCGUAAGUGACGGGACAGGACAGUGUACUUUUAUUUUUGAGUAAAUUCAGAAAGUGUAAGGUGUCAGUUAUGCUUUUUCCAUAACUUGAAUACAGAAGGUGGUCUGGCAGAAGCUCGAUAUUUGUCUUCAUAACUUGUUUAAAUAUGGAUAUUUUUUUUUUUUUUACACAAACAUUUACACAAUCCCCCGGAGCCGUGUGGAGUAUGUUCAUGAUGGAUGUGGAUGGAAGCACUUUCUUCAGCUCAUACUCAUUGAUCCAUUAUUAAAAUAUAUCUGAUUGUGUUCAUCAGAAAGAAGAAAGUCAUUUACACCUAGGAUGGCUUGAGGUACCAAAUCCACCAUAUGAGGGAAUGCGGCGGACUAAUUCCAAGGAACACUUGCCUCCCAACAUAUAAAUGGAUAAGACUCACUUGGCAUUGUCACUUGAAUAUUUCACAUAUUGCUGGUCAAUGAAAGCGUGGGCCGGUCAACUGUUGGGUCAUCUGUCAAAACCAAAUUUAUGUACAAUGUACAAAUCACAUCAAUCACAUGGGUCAGGAGUGUUUUGGACACUUGAGGAGAACUUGGCUUGACCUUUGUUGGAGUUCUUGCUUUGUUCCUAGUCAGGUCAUGUUAAGUCAAGUUUUGAUCCGUUUUCAUUUGGUUCCUGUUUCUCUUAUCUCUUUUGUUUGUUUCCAUGGUUGUUCCAUGGUAAUCACAGAAAUUAUUAUUGUGUCUCUAUGAUAUUUGUGGAGCCUUUAAAAAAAAAAAAAAAAACAGUGACACGCUUCCAAUGGCAUAUGAUUAACGUUUACAGUAACCUUUAGUCCCAGUCCAGGGUCUGUAUGUAAUGUAUGCUUUCUCAUUUGUGUGCAACUCAAGAUAUCAUUCUGCUGUGUUCAUUGAGCUGAUCUGUGUAGCUGCAAAAUGAAUGGAGGUGAUAAUGUGGACAGUUGCAACACACGGCUUACAUAUGUAUGUAUGUAUGUAUGUAUAUUUGCUCCAGUGAAAGUCAGGAAGAAGAGUGGCAGACACAAAACACCUUGGAGAAACUCAACAAAAGCGUGUUAAACUGUUUAGAAGCAGAUCUUCUAGAAGUGGUAAACGCCUCACUUCUUUCUGGGACUUUUCCAAAAUCCCUGAAAACUGCAGUGGUUCAGCCCCUCCUGAAAAAGAGCAGUCUGGAUAACACCAUAUUGAGCAACUACAGACCAAUCUCAAAUCUCCCUUUCAUAGGCAAGAUCAUUGAAAUAGUUGUUUUCAAUCAGCUGAACAAGUUCUUAAGUUCAAAUGGACACUUUGACAACUUUCAAUCUGGUUUCUGACCUCAUCACAGCAGAGACAGCGCUCAUAAAGAUAAUAAAUAAUAUUCCCUUAAACACCGAUUCUGGUAAAAUAUCAGUGCUGCGUUUGACACUGUCGAUCACAGAAUACUUCUCGACAGGCUGGAAAACUGGGUCGGGCUUUCUGGGAUGGUCCUGAAAUGGUUCAGGUCAAACUCAGAAUGGAGAGGUUAUUAUGUGAGUAUCCAUAAGUCUGAGUGGACAUCCAUGACAUGUGGAGUCCCUCAAGGCUCAAUCCUUGGACCGUUCUUGUUCAGUCUGUAUAUGCUGCCACUGAGCCAAAUAAUGAGAACGAACCAGAUUGCUCAUCACAGCUAUGCAGACGACACCCAGAUCUACGACUACAGCCCCAUUGACUCCCUGUGCCAAUGCACUGAUGAAAUUAACAGUUUGAUGAGCCAAAACUUCCUUCAGUAGAAGACAAAGACAAAACUGAAGUCAUUGCAUUUGGAAACAAAGAUCUCAAGGUGAACGCACACCUUGACUCUUGGAGUCAAAGAACAAAAAAUCAAGUCAGGAAUCUUGGUGUGAUUCUGGAGUCAGAUCUUAGUUUCAGUAGUCUCGUAAAAGCAAUAACUAAAUCAUCUCAAAAAUAUUGCAAGACUUGGAGAAACUUGUUCAUGUUUUCAUCUCCAGCAGGGUGGAUUAUUGUAAGAUUAAAAUACUUUGUCAGUGACGCGCAGAGACAGACAAUUGUAUUUACACUGCAAUAAAUAAGCAGGCCGAUCUGUUUCCACUAAAAAUAGCCCAUAAACAUCCUAAAAGAUAUGUUCACCUUAUCAGCAAAACUGCAUAUCUUUGAUUUGCAAUCUUCCUCUGACUGGGAUUUAUAAAGGGAUUUUUACACAGGUUCUGGCGUAUGGUUUUAUAUAUCUGAAAACUUGUGCGUAUGCAGAAUAUAUGUUUUGUGCAUACAUACACUUUUAGGAUGAAAUCUACGGAAAUGAGGCUCCAGAUGUGCUCCAACAGUAGUCACACUCAAAUCCAGAGUCAAAACACUUCAGUUUAGCUGUGCAUUUACUGAAUGAACACUGUGAUACGUCCAAACUGACUGCAAUGUAUUUUAUUCAUGUAUCCUCUUUAUGCAUUUUCUAUCAAUCUUUUUAAUUCUUAUGUAUUUGUUCCUUUUUAUGUCCACCACUUUGAAUCGCCAUAGUGUAUCUGUCACGAUCACCAGUGAGAGUGCCCGUCAUUGCCACCAGAGGGCACUCCACCCUGGACUACACACAUCAUUUGGACUCCAUUUCCCAUCUACCCUCAUACAGACUGAACUUUGGCUCUCUCAUUAGAAGUUGAAGCGUGACACAUUGAAUGGCUUGUCCAUUGUUAAAAUAGUCAAAGGACAUUUUAAUUAAGACUAAAAUUUCAGUCUGUUCCAUUUUCUUGAAGCAGAUUUUGUUUGACCUUCAGGGGUCUGAAUUGAUGAAUCCUCCCGAAGCAGGUUUUCGCCUCUUAAAUCCUCUGGCUUGAGGCUUUUCCUGAAAGACAGAACAGACAGCAGGUCGAUCCUCUGACUACAGAGAGUACAUGGUGACUUGGGCUAUUAUCUCACAAUUUAAAUAUGAUUUAAUAUCAAAAUAAAGAUAUUCUUCUUAAAACAGUGUCAAU